UGGGAUGUAGCUCAGUGAUAGAGCACUUUCCUGCCAUGCAUGAAGCCUUGGGUUCAAUCCCCAGUAUCACAA
rnacentral:tRNA from 1 species